GAGUUUGCCACUAAAUAGGCGAUUCCAUAUUUACGACCGUUACUCAUCGCCUGCCUACGUCAUAAUGGGCCAUUAAUGCGUCCUGUUAUGACAACAGGAGCGAUGCCCGCCGCGGAGCGCGCCCCCAAAGACUCUAUAAAAAGGGUCCCAAGGGGUCACUCCAAGGCAGAAUACAAGUUCCAACCAAACUAGAGCAUACCAGAGAGAAUCGUCGAUUUUCACACCAGAAUCGCCUAUUCUUCUUUGACAGAAUUUGACGUAGAGCGCGCGUCGUAGACUCUAGA
rnacentral:lncRNA from 1 species